rnacentral:rRNA from 1 species
AUUGAACGCUGGCGGCAGGCCUAACACAUGCAAGUCGAGCGAGCGGAGGACGGGGGAGUAAUGGCUAGGAAACUGCCGGAUGGAGGGGGAUAACUACUGGAAACGGUAGCUAAUACCGCAUACCAUCAGAUGUGGCCAGAUGGGAUUGGAUAGUAGGUGGGGUAACGGCUCACCUAGGCGACGAUCCCUAGCUGGUCUGAGAGGAUGACCAGCCACACGGGAACUGAGACACGGUCCAGACUCCUACGGGAGGCAGCAGUGGGGAAUAUUGCACAAUGGGCGCAAGCCUGAUGCAGCCAUGCCGCGUGUGUGAAGAAGGUCUUCGGGUUGUAAAGCACUUUCAGCGGGGAGGCGUUACCCGAAGAAGAAGCACCGGCUAACUCCGUGCCAGCCGCCGCGGUAAUAC